AGGAUGAACGCUGGCGGCGUGCUUAACACAUGCAAGUCGAACGCGCACCCCCUGGACUUCGGUUUGGGGGAAUGCAAGUGGCGAACGGGUGAGUAACACGUAGGAACCUGCCCUGAAGAGGGGGAAAACGGCUGGAAACGGUCGCUAAUCCCGCAUAGUCUCCUUCGGGAGUAAAGCUUCGGCGCUUCAGGAAGGGCCUGCGGCCUAUCAGGUAGUUGGUGGGGUAAUGGCCUACCAAGCCGUUGACGGGUAGGGGGCGUGAGAGCGCGACCCCCCACACGGGAACUGAGACACGGUCCCGACGCCUACGGGCGGCAGCAGUGAGGAAUCUUGCGCAAUGGGGGAAACCCUGACGCAGCGACGCCGCGUGCGGGAAGAAGGCCUUCGGGUCGUAAACCGCUUUUCUGUGGGACGAGGAAGGACGGUACCACGAGGAAUAAGUCCCGGCUAACUACGUGCCAGCAGCCGC
rnacentral:rRNA from 1 species